CUCUCUCAUUCUCUUCGCAGACCUUUCCCCCAUUUUUAGAAAUCAGUGAGCUUUCACUAAGAUCAUGCAAAAUCGGAAAAGUCUUUAAAAAGACCAAUUACUCAAGAUGAGAUAUUUGAGUAUACACAUAUGAAUAAGCUAAAGCAUGGAAAAAAGAUAAAUUUGAUCGAGCCAAGCCGAGACAAAAUAUAAUACUUUCAAACAAUCCUUGAAGGAGUUCAUUCAUAUCUAACCAAUUGAUGAUCAAGGAACGUCAAUCCAACCAUCCCAGGAGAAUUACAUGGACUUGUGGAUUAAGGCGGCGGGCGGCGUACAUAAGGGAAGAUUUUACGACCUUGGAUCAGAGUUUAGUUCUAGUCGUUGGUCUUUCGUAUCUGGUGGCUCUUCUUCCUCAAGGUCCAUGAUUAAUCAGGAUGAGUUUGAGCUAUUGAAUAGAAAAAUAGCAGAGAUCACUCAGCUGUAUGCACAAAAAAGGGCUGCGCGGGAGGAGGACGCAAAGCGAAGGGAGGAAGAAAUGAGGCGAAAGGAUGCUGCAUUUACACGUGUCACUGGUGAGGUUGAAAGCCUCAAGUCCCAGCUAAACAUUCUCUUUGCAUCUGGUGCACUUCCUCUGCCACGUUCUCCAUCGCGCUCCAACAAGAAUAAGGAUUGUUUCUUUUAUUAAUAUUCUUUUGGGUGGGACUAUGAUGUUGGAUAUUAUGUUUAGUUGCAUUAUUGGUUUCUACUAUUUUCAGUUUUGGUUGGUUGUUAAUUAAUGAAAUGGAUCGGACGAUG